GUGUCUUGGCUAAGGUGUCUUGGCUAAUGUGUCUCGGCUAAAGUGUCUUGGCUAAUGUGUCUUGGCUAAGGUGUCUUGGCUAAGGUGUCUCGGCUUAUGUGUCUUGGCUAAUGUGUCUUGGCUAAGGUGUCUCGGCUAAGGUGUCUUGGCUAAGGUGUCUUGGCUAAGGUGUCUUGGCUAAGGUGUCUUGGCUAAUGUGUCUCGGCUUAUGUG